CCAAACUUGGUCAUUUAGAGGAAGUAAAAGUCGUAACAAGGUUUCCGUAGGUGAACCUGCGGAAGGAUCAUCGUGGAGGUUGAGAUAUACUGGCCUGUGAACCGUCGCUGAGGCGGCGACAGCCGCCGAGGCGGAUCGGAGGCGCUUGCGCCGACGACAGCCGUGCCGUGAGCAGUACACCAACAGAGUAGAUAUAAUACACACACAACUUUCAACAAUGGAUCUCUUGGCUCUCGCAUCGAUGAAGAACGCAGC
rnacentral:misc_RNA from 1 species